CCUACGGGUGGCAGCAGUGGGGAAUAUUGGACAAUGGGCGCAAGCCUGAUCCAGCAAUACCGCGUGAGUGAUGAAGGUCUUCGGAUUGUAAAGCUCUUUUAGUAGGGAAGAUAAUGACGGUACCUACAGAAAAAGCACCGGCAAACUUCGUGCCAGCAGACGCGGUAAUACGAAGGGUGCUAGCGUUGUUCGGAAUUACUGGGCGUAAAGCGUACGUAGGCGGCUUAGUAAGUCGAUUGUGAAAGCCCCGGGCUUAACCCGGGAAUUGCAACCGAAACUGCUUUGCUUGAGUUUAGUGGGGGAUGGUGGAAUUCCUAGUGUAGGGGUGAAAUCCGUAGAGAUUAGGAGGAAUACCGGUGGCGAAGGCGACCAUCUACGCUAAUACUGACGCUAAGGUACGAAAGCGUGGGGAGCAAACAGGAUUAGAUACCCGUGUAGUC
rnacentral:rRNA from 1 species